rnacentral:rRNA from 1 species
CACGUAGGAGGCGAGCGUUGUCCGGAAUCAUUGGGCGUAAAGAGCGCGCAGGCGGCUUGGCAAGUCGGGUGUGAAAUCCCGGGGCUCAACCCCGUGACUGCAUCCGAUACUGUCAGGCUAGAGGUAGGUAGGGGAGAUCGGAAUUCCUGGUGUAGCGGUGGAAUGCGUAGAGAUCAGGAAGAACAUCGGUGGCGAAGGCGCUCUGCUGGACCAUAACUGACACUCAGGGACGAAAGCUAGGGGAGCGAAUGGG